rnacentral:rRNA from 1 species
AUGGACAAGCACGGUCAACCUCUGCUUGCUCUGCUUCCCCUCCUCCUCUGCCUCUCCGUGCUCCGGGCCAGCGCGGCGGCUUCUGUCACCGCCGGCAACCCCGACGGCACGGAGCUCUGGGGAUUCGUCGAAGUCCGACCAAAGGCCAACCUGUUCUGGUGGUACUACAAGAGCCCCCAGAGGGUGUCGACGCCGUCCAGGCCAUGGCCGACCGUCCUCUGGCUACAGGGCGGUCCCGGAGCGUCGGGGGUGGGCAUCGGCAACUUCAUGGAGAUCGGGCCCCUCGACGUGAACCUCAAGCCCCGAAACUCGACGUGGCUGCAGAAGGCGGACCUCAUCUUCAUGGACAACCCUGUGGGGGUCGGGUACAGUUACGUUGAGGACGACAGCCUGCUGGUGACGACUGACUGGCAGGCGGCCACGGACGCCACCACGCUGCUCAAGGCGCUCGCCAAGGAGCUGCCCACCCUGCAGCAGGGGAGCCCCCUCUUCCUCGUCGCCGAGUCCUACGGCGGAAAGUACGCCGCCACUCUCGGCGUCUCCGUCGCAAGGGCCGUCCGUGCCGGCGACCUCAAGCUCAAGCUCGCAGGCGUCGCGCUCGGGGAUAGCUGGGUCUCGCCGGAGGAUUUCACGCUCGCUUACGCGCCGCUGCUCCUGGAGGUUUCGAGGCUGGACGACAACGCCGGCGACGCCGCCAAGAAGAAGGCGGCGACGGUGAAGGAGCAGAUCGCGGCCGGGCGGCUGGCGGACUCGCAGGGGUCGUGGUCGGAGCUGCUGGAUUUCAUUGACUCCAAGAGCGCCAGCGUCGACAUGUACAAUUUCCUGCUCGACGCCGGCAUGGACCCGGUGGCGGCGGACCUGCCGGCGACCUCGUCGACUCCGACGACGUCGAGCAACGCGCAAGUGAUGAAGUACUCGACGUACCUCGGCGGCAGCCAGGAGGAAGCCGGCUCCAACACCACCAACACCCUCGGCGGCAUCAUGAACGGGGUCGUCAAGGAGAAGCUCAAGAUCAUCCCCAAGGAUCACGAGUGGCACGAGCUGUCGGACCCCGUCUACAACGCGCUGGUCAACGACUUCAUGAAGCCACGGAUCGACGAGGUCGACGAGCUGCUGUCUUACGGUGUAGAUGUCACGGUUUAUAAUGGCCAGCUGGAUGUGAUUUGCUCGACCAAGGGCGCGGAGGCAUGGGUGCAAAAGCUCAAAUGGGAUGGGCUGAAGAACUUCCUGAGCCUGCCGAGGCAGCCUCUGUCCUGCGGAUCAUCCAAGGUCACCAAGGCCUUCGUCAGGUCCUACAAGAACCUACAUUUCUACUGGAUCCUUGGCGCUGGCCACUUCGUGCCGGCCGACCAGCCUUGCAUUGCGCUGAGCAUGAUCGCUGGCAUAACCCAGUCUCCAGCCAGCUAG